rnacentral:rRNA from 1 species
UACGAAGGGGGCUAGCGUUGUCCGGAAUUAUUGGGCGUAAAGAGCUCGUAGGCGGCUUGUCACGUCGGGUGUGAAAGACCGGGGCUUAACCCCGGUUCUGCAUUCGAUACGGGCUGGCUAGAGUGUGGUAGGGGAGAUCGGAAUUCCCGGUGUAGCGGUGAAAUGCGUAGAGACCGGGAAGAACACCAGUGGCGAAGGCGGCUACCUGGACAGGUACUGACGCUGAAGCGCGAAAGCUAGGGGAGCAAACAGG